rnacentral:rRNA from 1 species
GAUGAACGCUGGCGGCGUGCCUAAUACAUGCAAGUCGAACGAACCUUCUUCGGAGGAUGAGUGGCGAACGGGUGAGUAAUACAUAGGUAACCUGCCCCUGUGCGGGGGAUAACAGGAGGAAACUCCUGCUAAUACCGCAUAGCCAUGAGCACCGCAUGGAGCUCAUGCCAAAUAUCCUUUCGGGGAUAGCGCAGGGAUGGACCUAUGGCGCAUUAGCUGGUUGGCGGGGCAACGGCCCACCAAGGCAACGAUGCGUAGCCGGCCUGAGAGGGCGGACGGCCACAUUGGGACUGAGACACGGCCCAGACUCCUACGGGAGGCAGCAGUAGGGAAUUUUCGGCAAUGGGGGAAACCCUGACCGAGCAACGCCGCGUGAGCGAAGAAGGCCUUCGGGUCGUAAAGCUCUGUUGUAAAGGAAGAACGGCGCAUACAGGAAAUGGUAUGCGAGUGACGGUACUUUACCAGAAAGCCACGGCUAACUACGUGCCAGCCGCCGCAGUAAGAC